rnacentral:lncRNA from 1 species
UCACUCUCAAAUCCCCAAUGCUUUAUGAACUGUUUGAUGUCCCAAGUGUGGAGCUCAUUCACACUAAAAUCAAAGACCUAUUGUCUCAGUUGCAGUAAGAGCAGAUAAUAUCAUAGUGUGGGUAUGGGUUAGUUUUUAAGCCUGUAGGAAAUUGUUGUUUCCACUGGGAGGUUUAUUUGAACUCAGCGUUGACUCUGCUCGCUGCCUGCUGACCAACAUCUUUACACCACUUAUUGAUUGUCAGUUGGAACGGUCUCAUAUGAUUUUGACCAAACGGACGCUGUGGGAUGAGUCCUUAGUGACUGAUUCUGCAAAUACAGUAUGACUGAGUGUUGCAAGUCAUAACCAACCAACACACAUGACAAAAAAAAGAAGAAAUUUUACUUUAAUUAUACAAAGAAACUUCAGUAACCUUCUUAAAUCAUUGAUAUUUUCCUUCUUUAAAUUAUUAAAAUUAAAAGAUCCAUCCUUCUGUCUUUGACUAGAUUUUCUGAGAACACCUACAGGGGAUUCAUCAGUUUUUAUAAUACUUUUGAUACUCUGAAACAAAUUCUUUUCUAUGUCACGAUGAUCACAUCUGUUAUGGCACUCAGCUGAGUGACUCACCAAGAAUUUCUUGAGAGACAACUCAAACUUCAUAAGCUGCUUUCAGACGUGCACUUAAGCUGCUUUCAUUUUCCUAAACUUUUCCAGAGCAGCUGUACGAGAGAACGCGAAUGUCCGCAAAUGUUGCUUCGGACAUUUUCAGGAACUGUCCCCCCGUAAAUUUCUGAGAAUGUGAGAAUACAGCAGUAAAAUCAGUUAUAAACAGAUGAGUUUGUUUUAUCUGGCACAAAUACCUCUAUCGCUUUACUCCCUAAAUGUUCAAUAUUACAAUAGUAUUUAUUAUAUAUUUAUGUAUUGUUUCUUUUCUUCCUCUGCUUAUAGAUACAACGAUACCUGUGAGGUUUCUUACAAGACUGGAGCGUUGGUCAGGAAACCAUCACCAGGGCUGUGAUACGCUGAGCCUCGCUGGAGAAUAUAAUGCAUUUUGAUGUCAAGAGAAAGUGUGUGAGGUGGCCCUGACAGGGGCUUCAUUAGAAAGGCUGCCGUUUGUUGUCUUGUCGUCAAGUCGCCAAACUGGAAUCGUUACACGGCGAACAAAAGCUCCAUCUUUAUCUCUGCUGGCUCGUUACUGAUGUACGUACGUACAUUCUGCUGCCGCAAACAGUGCUCAUUAAAUAAGUGAAAAAAGAAAAUCUACAUUAGUCAGGGAAAUGUGGAUCUCAGCGUAGCGUCCUGGUGAACAAAUGACCCCUCCUCACAGGCCUUCUAAUCAGGAAGACGGGACUUCUCCACAGUGGUCUCUCACCACGCACUCUGCUGUGUUAAAUAAUGAAUCACUCAAUCAGACAAACUUUACUUCAACUUUCAAGACAGUAAUAUGAAAUUCCAGCAAACUUUUUUGGUUAUUUUUCGAAAGUUUCCAUGCAUGAAACAAAAAUGAAAUUAAUACACUAACAGUUCUAUAUUUUCUUAUUCCUUUA